AACAAGCCCACUCCACGCCUCCUCGUCCACCACCUCGCCCGAUCCCCAACCUCCGGAUCUCCCCAGUCCCAGCGACGCCGAGCUCCCCCUGACCCCGCCUCCACCAGGCGUCGCCGCCCCCGCCCCCGCCCCCUUCAACUCCCGCCCCGCCGGCAAGCCGGGCGCCGCCAUGCCCGCCCUUCCCUUUGACCGAUCUCCUCCUUCCUCACCGUCGACGUCGUGGGAGCACCCAUCCCGCUGCCCAGACCCUAGCCAGUGACGCCGCCACCGCUACGCAGCCGCAGCCACGCCCCUGUCGACGGCGCCGCCGCAGCCCCACCCCCGCCGGCGACGCAACCGCAGCCCCGACCCCAGCCGAUGACGCGCAACACCACCUGCCAGAGCACCUCGUGGAAGCCCGAUCCAGCGAGGAUCCUUCACCACCCUCCACUCUCCGGUGACCACCAGCCCGCGUGCGGAUGGUGUGCUAUCCUGCAGAUCGAGGAGGCGUCGAACUUCAGAUGGAGGAGGCCACAACCUGCAGCUGGCCGCGCCAUGGUUGCGCGUCGCCGGCAUCCUCCGUCACGCUCGGCACCUCCUGAGCGUUGGAGUGAAGGGCAUUUUCUUCAGGGCAGUGGAGAGCACCCUCACCCUGAUCCCAUCUGCAGCAGCGCCCCGAGUCCUCCCAAAGCAGCCUUGAGCCGUUCAAGUAUGCAGCCCCGGGCCGUUCAACGACGGAGCUGCCGACCGUUCGUGAACACAACACCCCGGAUCCUGCUGCCCACCAUCCUGUAAAGGGAGACUUAUUGUGAAGACUUCAAACUGAGUACAGAAGACUCGAUUAAUUUUUGCUCCCUUCUUGAAAGGAAGAGGGGAGUUGGUUCUCUUUUGAGGUUGCGACUCGAUUAAUCGAUUAAUUACAGCUUAUUUUCGACCUUCCUGUGCUAGUAGAUCUUUUCCCAAUUCUGAUCUUCUUUCGGUUGCUGUUUGGAUUUAUUCCCUUCGCUCUUCUUCGACCGCGCUCAUAAAUACGGCCUUGUAAUCUUGUGGAAAGGAGCAGUGCAGUGCAUGUGAAUACAUAUGGCCUGAAGCUGCUAUAAUUGUCCAAAAUCCGGUGUUUGCUACUGCAAUCCGAGUGAAGUAUAUUUGGAAACAUGCCUGCCUCGAGUCUUCUACUCUGUCCUGAACCAGCAGUCCUCGAGGCAGGAUGUACUACUACCUGGACUCAUCUGCCCCGGAGGCACAACACGAACCAAGCCCCAUGUUUUUCAGUGACUGACUCAGUAGUCCUUGAUGGUCGAACAUCCGGCAGGUAGCCCGUACUGCACCACCAUAUCUUGCCAUCUUAUGAUCCCAGCAAAAUGUUGAAGUAAAACACACACCACCAGGAGGAGAGUAUAUGUCAAGGAAGGACUGGUGAAAUAGCAGGGCAAAGAUGCCACAGUAAUGCUGAGCCGGAGUGGUAGCGUGUGUGCGAGAAGACUCGUUUGUUUGGGUUGGGGAGCCAGCCGAGCCAACGCACACUUGGUGGACAGUCUAUCUGGUUCGUACGCCCGGCCAUGAUAUUGUGUCCGAAAAGAAGACUCAAAUGGGCACGUUCAACUACUGUGUCCCCAGCCAUGAAAACUUGUGGCCCGUCAUGGUCUCCUCACACCUAAACGGCUGCCAUUUUUCUAUUAGUGAAAUUUCCUCUGUUUUGGAUU